CCUUGUGGGAACUUUGCCCAGUGCCAGGACCCACUGAUGCUCCAGGGCCUGAACACUUUCAUGGGUCCAGCUCCUGCUACAGCACCAGCACAGGAUGGUCUGGAGCCGCUUUCAUUUUUAGAUGUUAGACUAGGUUUGGAGUUUGAAGAAGCAUCAUGGUGCAUUCAUGGAUCUCCAGCCCUGUGUUUUCACUUCGUGUCUAUACCCGAGAUGUUGGCAUGCAUACCACCAUGGCCAGAGGUUGAGCUGGAUACAGGACCAUUCCUGGCUCCCACAUCACGGUUCCCAGGAGAGCCCUCUAAGGAGCAGGAAAAAUCCCUGCCAGAAGACCAGGGCUUAGCGGUAUGUCUCUAUCUUGGGCCUGCUCAAGAAAAAGAGCCAUCCUUUCCCCCUCCUGAGCAGGUCAUUUUAUUCUUCAUUAUCACAUUUUCCCUUAUGUUCUUUAUUUUUCAUUGUCAUAUUUACUUUUUCUUUUUAGGUAUGUAUUAAAUUAAUAUUUAUUACUACCCUGUUGUGGUGUGCAAAUCAUUGUCUUAAGUACAUUUAAUGUUGAGCAACCAUCCUCACUUUGUGGUCCAGAACCUCUCUUCACCCCAAACUAGAAGCUCAGGCUCCUGCCAUCCCCUCUCCCUUUUGGCUUCAUUUGCAUGGCGAGCUCCAUAGACCUGCUUCUCUCCUUGUAUCUCCUUGCCCUGGGUGCUGCAUUCAGGAUGUGGAGCAUCUUAGGACCUGGCCCAGAGUCGAACUUGGUCAGGGAGCCUUUCUCAUUAUUUGACAGGCACGGACACUGCAGCUCAAGGAGGUAAUGAGGUCAGCUGGAAUGUCGGGGAACAGGGACUGGUACUCUAACCAGGGCACACAGCACAACAAGCUGCCUUUUUUCUUAGUCUUCUCUUUGUAGCUGGGACCCCCCCAUUUUCUUCUCCUUCCAAGUGCUCAUCCCACACACCUUUUACUUCUGGCAGUGUCUGUUCAGGAGAGACUAUGGCAUUGUUGACAGCAUAUGUCCAUAUAAUCAUGCUUGUGGUGACGAUCAUCCCUGGGACAUCCUGAAAACUGCCCACCUGAUUUCCAUCCACUUAGUAGGCCAGGUGGGCAUUCAGGAGCAUGGGGAUCACUUAGGUGGAGACCUGGUUCCUCGUGAGGAUUUCAGCAGGAAAAGCCCAAUUUGGUUCGGUGCUCACUGGGCUGCCUAUCCUAGAGAAUAGGUCUAGAGGGAGCCUACUGGGGGAGAUUCUAAGUCUUUGGGGAAGACACCAGGCC
rnacentral:lncRNA from 1 species